rnacentral:rRNA from 1 species
AUGCAGAAAAAUAAGAGGGCGAGUGGUCACGCAAGUAGCUUGAGAAAGGUGCAAAGCACCAUCAAAAAGAAGGAAAAAAUUGGAAGUAGUCGCAAAAGAGGCAUUACUACUCGGAAAGGACACCUGAGAGAGAAUAUAUUUGGCUACUCAUCGCCUGAUCGGGAUAUUUCUAGCACCAAGUUCGAAGAGCGACAAUUUGGCAAUGUAUAUGAACCUGGUCAAGCUGACUGGUGUGAACUAAGUAAAAGACUAGCUUCACAUUUGUCUGUGGAAGUUGUCUCACUUGCUUUGUUCGAUGGAGAUAAGAUGUUAUAUGCAUGCACGGGUAUAGUUCUACCACGUGGGACAUCAAGACUGGACCUAACAAGAUUCCUGACUUCAUCACAGUUGGUUGCAGUCUUUAAUUUUAAAAGAAACAAGGAUGAUAAAUUGAGGGUUUUGGUGCGCCUUCCUGACAAAAAAACUAUACCUGGGAUCUUAGGACUAUAUGAUAAAUGUAUUGCUAUUGUUACAUCCGAAUACUUCCAAGAUGUUAUGCCAUUAGACAUGUAUCAGCAAACAUAUCUGCCUAAUCCUUCGACGAUGGUAGCUGGGCGUGCCUGCAAUUCAAGCAGUUUGAUGGGCACGAUUGGGGAGCUGACUGAUAUAGGAGCUGAUUAUGAAGAUCUUGUGGCCUCUAACUGUCAGAUCACAGAGGCUGGACUUGGAGGGCCACUCAUUGAUCUUGCUGGCAAUUUUGUUGGGAUCAACAUUUGUUUUCAUGGUGAUACGCAAAGGCCUUUGUUUCUACCAAGGAUAUUGCUUCGUCAACGCUUGGAGCAAUAUGAGGUGCUCAUUCCUGGAAAAGGUUAUGGAGAGAAAAUGCCACCUUAUUGUGCAGGUUUGUUAAUGGGAAAAACCAGCAAUAGCAGGCAGGGAUCUUAUGAACCUCCUCCAGGUGCUUCCAGAAUAAUCCCUUCAGGAUUUAUGGAUACCUGGGAGUGGCUAGAAUCCAUGGGCUACCCUAAACCACCACCACUUAUGCUGGAAUUGAAUGGGCGCCUGGUUAGGACAUUUGAGGAAGUGUUUGGUUGGUUACAUGCUUGGAAAGGUUAUAAAAACUUCGAUAUGUUGCACGGUCAUGGAAAGAAUGCCUGGCAGAGGCUUGAUAAGAAGAUAGUUGCAACUAUAUCCAAUCGUGUUAUCUCACUUGUUUCGUUCAAUGGAGAGGGUACGAGUUUUUUUUCAUGCUCAGGCUUCCUUAUAAGGGGUCCGCCAAGAAAAGGGCACACACGCAAUGUGAUUGUGACUUCGGCCAGUUUGGUUAGAACUUGUGAUGUUACAGACAAAUUUGAUGAGAAUAUGAGGAUUGAGGUGUUUCUCCCACCGAAUCAGCGCUUGAAUGGGACACUGGAAUCAUAUCAUUCCGGAUAUAAUAUUGCUAUUGUCACUGUUAAGGGUUUGCGUGAUAUUUGUCCAGAAGAUAUGAAAUUUGAUGAUCCCAUGAGUAACCAAGAGAAUCCUUUACCCAGAAGGGUGGUAGCUAUAGGGCGUGAGCCCAAAGGAGUGUUAUGUGCCUCAAUGGGUGAACCUAUACUUUGUGAUGAAGACCUGCACUGGCCUAGCACAUUUGGUUGCCAGCAACUUAAGCUGUCCAAUUGUAAAAUCUCGAAGGUUGGUAUUGGAGGCCCCCUGAUAAACUUCUUUAAUGGGCGUCUUGUUGGCAUGAACUUUUGUGAUGGAAGGCCUGAUAGAACUCCCUACCUGCCUUGUAAGCAAAUUCGUGAAGUCUUACAUAGCACAUGGCGCUUAACUACCGACCGCUCUGUGCUCAGAUUGGACAAACCAGAUGUGAACAACAAAUGCAGAUGGCCAGUGCCCAAGCCAUAUUGGUAUCACGGUCUUCUCGAGAUGAAUAGGUUUGGUCCGAUGCCCAUGAUAGGAUGGGCUCGCCAGUUGAAUGGCAUGUGA